GAUGAAGAACGUAGCGAAAUGCGAUAAGUAAUGUGAAUUGCAGAAUUCAGUGAAUCAUCGAAUCUUUGAACGCACAUUGCGCCCCUUGGUAUUCCGAGGGGCAUGCCUGUUCGAUCGUCAUUAUAACCCCUCAAGCUCAGCUUGGUGUUGGGGCCUGCUGCACUGGCAGCCCUUAAAAUCAGUGGCGGCGCCAUCUGGCUCUAAGCGUAGUAAUUCUUCUCGCUAUGGAGUCCUGGUGGAUGCUUGCCAUCAACCCCCAAUUUUUCUAUGGUUGACCUCGGAUCAGGUAGGGAUACCCGCUGAACUUAAGCAUAUCAAUAAGCGGAGGA
rnacentral:misc_RNA from 1 species